rnacentral:rRNA from 1 species
GAUGAACGCUGGCGGCGUGCCUAAUACAUGCAAGUCGAGCGAACGGACGAGAAGCUUGCUUCUCUGAUGCUAGCGGCGGACGGGUGAGUAACACGUGGAUAACCUACCUAUAAGACUGGGAUAACUUCGGGAAACCGGAGCUAAUACCGGAUAAUAUUUUGAACCGCAUGGUUCAAAAGUGAAAGACGGUCUUGCUGUCACUUAUAGAUGGAUCCGCGCUGCAUUAGCUAGUUGGUAAGGUAACGGCUUACCAAGGCAACGAUGCAUAGCCGACCUGAGAGGGUGAUCGGCCACACUGGAACUGAGACACGGUCCAGACUCCUACGGGAGGCAGCAGUAGGGAAUCUUCCGCAAUGGGCGAAAGCCUGACGGAGCAACGCCGCGUGAGUGAUGAAGGUCUUCGGAUCGUAAAACUCUGUUAUUAGGGAAGAACAUAUGUGUAAGUAACUGUGCACAUCUUGACGGUACCUAAUCAGAAAGCCACGGCUAACUACGUGCCAGCAGCCGCGGUAAUACGUAGGUGGCAAGCGUUAUCCGGAAUUAUUGGGCGUAAAGCGCGCGUAGGCGGUUUUUUAAGUCUGAUGUGAAAGCCCACGGCUCAACCGUGGAGGGUCAUUGGAAACUGGAAAACUUGAGUGCAGAAGAGGAAAGUGGAAUUCCAUGUGUAGCGGUGAAAUGCGCAGAGAUAUGGAGGAACACCAGUGGCGAAGGCGACUUUCUGGUCUGUAACUGACGCUGAUGUGCGAAAGCGUGGGGAUCAAACAGGAUUAGAUACCCUGGUAGUCCACGCCGUAAACGAUGAGUGCUAAGUGUUAGGGGGUUUCCGCCCCUUAGUGCUGCAGCUAACGCAUUAAGCACUCCGCCUGGGGAGUACGACCGCAAGGUUGAAACUCAAAGGAAUUGACGGGGACCCGCACAAGCGGUGGAGCAUGUGGUUUAAUUCGAAGCAACGCGAAGAACCUUACCAAAUCUUGACAUCCUUUGACAACUCUAGAGAUAGAGCCUUCCCCUUCGGGGGACAAAGUGACAGGUGGUGCAUGGUUGUCGUCAGCUCGUGUCGUGAGAUGUUGGGUUAAGUCCCGCAACGAGCGCAACCCUUAAGCUUAGUUGCCAUCAUUAAGUUGGGCACUCUAAGUUGACUGCCGGUGACAAACCGGAGGAAGGUGGGGAUGACGUCAAAUCAUCAUGCCCCUUAUGAUUUGGGCUACACACGUGCUACAAUGGACAAUACAAAGGGCAGCGAAACCGCGAGGUCAAGCAAAUCCCAUAAAGUUGUUCUCAGUUCGGAUUGCAGUCUGCAACUCGACUACAUGAAGCUGGAAUCGCUAGUAAUCGUAGAUCAGCAUGCUACGGUGAAUACGUUCCCGGGUCU